CCUACGGGUGGCAGCAGUGGGGAAUAUUGGACAAUGGGGGGAACCCUGAUCCAGCCAUGCCGCGUGUGUGAAGAAGGCCCUCGGGUUGUAAAGCACUUUCAGUGAGGAAGAACGCCUGGUGGUUAAUACCCAUCAGGAAAGACAUCACUCACAGAAGAAGCACCGGUUAACUCCGUGCCAGCAGCCGCGGUAAUACGGAGGGUGCGAGCGUUAAUCGGAAUUACUGGGCGUAAAGCGCGCGUAGGUGGCUUGAUAAGCCGGUUGUGAAAGCCCCGGGCUCAACCUGGGAACGGCAUCCGGAACUGUCAAGCUAGAGUGCAGGAGAGGAAGGUAGAAUUCCCGGUGUAGCGGUGAAAUGCGUAGAGAUCGGGAGGAAUACCAGUGGCGAAGGCGGCCUUCUGGACUGACACUGACACUGAGGUGCGAAAGCGUGGGUAGCAAACAGGAUUAGAUACCCUAGUAGUC
rnacentral:rRNA from 1 species